AGGCUCCAUCCAGUAGGCAUUAGCACUCCCCAUACAAUGGUUCAAACCUGAGAGUUCUGAAUUGGAAUCCCACAUUUUAAUCACUGGGCUAUUACUUUUGAGACCAAUAUAGAUCUAUAUCAUAAUUAUAAAUGCAACCUCUAAAGCUUUGACAUCUUAGUGCCUGUUUGGCAUUGAAGCUGCAAGGCAAAAACUGCUUUUCAG
rnacentral:misc_RNA from 1 species